rnacentral:snRNA from 1 species
GCUCACUUUGGCUGCACAUAUACUAAAACUGGAAUGAUACAGAGAAGAUUAGCAAGGCCCCUGCACAAGGAUGACAUGCAAAUUCAUGAAGUGUUCCAUAUUUUU